rnacentral:rRNA from 1 species
GACGAACGCUGGCGGCGUGCUUAACACAUGCAAGUCGAACGGAAAGGCCCUGCUUUUGUGGGGUGCUCGAGUGGCGAACGGGUGAGUAACACGUGAGUAACCUGCCCUUGACUUUGGGAUAACUUCAGGAAACUGGGGCUAAUACCGGAUAGGAGCUCCUGCUGCAUGGUGGGGGUUGGAAAGUUUCGGCGGUUGGGGAUGGACUCGCGGCUUAUCAGCUUGUUGGUGGGGUAGUGGCUUACCAAGGCUUUGACGGGUAGCCGGCCUGAGAGGGUGACCGGACACAUUGGGAGUGAUAACGGGCCCAGCCUCCGACGGGGGGCAGCAGGGGGGAAUAUUGCAAAAGGGGCGGAAGCCUGAGGCAGCAACGCCGCGUGGGGGAGGGCGGCCGUCGGUUUGAAACCCGCUUGCGCCGGGGACGAAGGGGGAGGGAGGGUAAGGGGAAAAGAAGCACGGGCUAAUGACGUG